AGAGUUUGAUCAUGGCUCAGAAUAAACGCUGGCGGCGUGCCUAACACAUGCAAGUCGGACGAGAAAGGCUGAUUUUCGGAUUAGCCGAGUAAAGUGGCGCACGGGUGAGUAACGCGUAGGUAACCUACCCUUGUAUUUGGGAUAACAGGACGAAAGUUUUGCUAAUACCGGAUACGACCUGAGGGCGGAGGUUUUCAGGUGAAAGUCGGCCUCUUCGAGAAAGCUGACGUACAGGGAUGGGUCUGCGUCCUAUCAGCUAGUUGGUGGGGUAACGGCCUACCAAGGCGACGACGGGUAGCUGGUCUGAGAGGAUGAUCAGCCACACUGGCACUGGAACACGGGCCAGACUCCUACGGGAGGCAGCAGUGAGGAAUUUUGCGCAAUGGCCGCAAGGCUGACGCAGCAACGCCGCGUGGGUGAAGAAGGCCUUCGGGUCGUAAAGCCCUGUCAGGUGGGAAGAAAGGUUUCGUCAAGAAACGGAUGGAAUUUGACGGUACCACCAGAGGAAGCACCGGCUAACUCCGUGCCAGCAGCCGCGGUAAUACGGAGGGU
rnacentral:rRNA from 1 species